rnacentral:rRNA from 1 species
AAAUUGAAGAGUUUGAUCAUGGCUCAGAUUGAACGCUGGCGGCAGGCCUAACACAUGCAAGUCGAACGGUAACAGGAAUCAGCUUGCUGAUUCGCUGACGAGUGGCGGACGGGUGAGUAAUGUCUGGGAAACUGCCUGAUGGAGGGGGAUAACUACUGGAAACGGUAGCUAAUACCGCAUAACGUCGC